rnacentral:lncRNA from 1 species
AUUUGAAACAUAUUCAUUGUAUAAAGUGUGUCUAAUCAUUGCUAGUGUAUUUCAUUUUUAUAUGUCAAUUUUCUAUAAAAUAUCUUUAUAUAUCAUUUUUCUAAAAAAUAUCUGUACCAUACAAUUCAAUAGAAAAAUGAGAGUGGGAAAGGGUGGGGGCGAAAGUUAUUUAAUAGAUUUAAAAGGAAGAGCAAUAAUGUUUGAUUAGGCUUUAUCAUACCUUUAAGCAACGUGUGUGGACGUGAAAACGAGUGUUAAAAUGAAUUAAAGAUGGUGAAAGCCAAAAUCACUACUAGUUUGUCACUUAAAUACAAAUAUGAUCAUUUUCUCGUAUAACCAACCUAAAAUUUUGUUUGCAUUUCUAACAAUUCUUCCCUCAAACAAAGGACCACCUUGAGUCUCCCCUUGAACGAAUCCAUUUUACCCAAAACCAUAUGAAAGUUUACGCUAAAUGCUUAAGGUGCACCCCUUGUUGAACAAAUUGGAUGAGCAUGAUCAAUCACAGAUCACACUUGUUCUUAUCACCUAAAUAGAACACGAACAUGACUAGCUCACUAAAUUUCUUUAUUCAGAAUCUACGGAUUUCAUUUGCACAAUUAUGCUUCGACCGAAGCUCUAGUACUAGUUAUAAGAACAGCAAAUCUUCACACAUUUCCACAAUGAUAUGAUAUUUUCACUUUGGACAUGUUCCCUCAUUGUUAUGUUUCUAGUUUUACACCCUCAAAAGUUUUAUGUCAAUGAACAUUACCAAGAUAUAAUGAACAUAAUGAACAUUACCAAGAUAUAGCCCACAAGAAAGAAAAGAAAAGGAGAUCAUUAAAGCUAAGAGAUGCAAGACACAAUCAACUUUCUUUUAAAAGGCUGAUGAGACCUUCGGAGUUAAAAUGAUUGUUGUUUUUUUCCUUUAAAGUAAGUUCCCAUUAUCAUUGGACUCAAAAUAAUUUCCAAAUGAUAGGAGAGAAAGUUGAAAUGGUGUACAUCUCAUAUUUCCAUUUUGAAAUUUGAAUGCCAAUCCAUAUCAUAACUUUCAUAAAGAAAAGAGGUUGAGGAAAUUAUUGGUUUAUGAAUUAGGAGAGACAACUGAUAUAUUUGAUUGUUAUUGUUUUUGUUGGUUGCUAUCCUUUUCUCUUACAUGCCUUGUCAUGAUUCUAACUUUUGGCGCAUUGUGAGACUUGAAUUGAUUGUCUAUCUUUUCUUUUGUGGUUGCAAAUUUCAUUUUAUUCUUUUGAUUUCUGAUGAUUGGUUUUAUUUUUGUCGCUAUUAAAUUGAUCUAUAUUCACUCCUCUGGUUUCUCAUCUUUAAUGUCUCAAUCAUUCUUAUUUCUUCUUUUCCUUUAAUGGCGCUAACCAUUCUUUCUCUAAAAGGAGAAUCAAUUUGUUUCUUUAACAAUGUACCUACUUCUUCUCCCCUUCCUAAGGUUCUAAUCAUCUUUUUUUUAUAUAAGAAAAACAUUUUAUCUUAAUCUUAAUUUUAGGAUAUCAAUGGUACGUUUUUUGUAAUAUGAAAUAUAAUAGUUGUUGAUCGGAAUAAUUUAAUUUCGUUUGUAAUUUUCUCUACUUUAUUUGAUGGUGGAUUUUGUGUUAAAUCUUUCAAAUUAUUUUGUUUUAUUUCUUUAUGUUGGUUUGGUUUUGAUUUUACUUUAUAUCAGGUUUGUAUAUCAGUGUUGUGACGGUAUUAUAUUAUAUGUAUUGGUUGGUUGAUAUACUUACUAGGUGAUUUUUAUUUUUCAAAUUUUAUGCAGUGCAUUUAAUAUUAUUAAGUAUAUGAAUGAUAUAACUCAAUGUAUCAUGCAUUAUCAAGUAUAUGAACAAUAUAUUAUUAAAUGUAUAUCAACAUAUUAGGAAAGUGAGUCAUUAUCAAGUGUAUCGAUCAAGUUUACAAGUGUAUAUCGAGUGUAUCAAACAUAUCACGUGUAUCAAACAUAUCAAAUUUGUUGAGUGUACCAAUGAAGCAUAACAAGUAUUUGCAGUGCAUCAAGUAUAUCAAACUUAUCAAUGAAGUUUACAAAUGUAUAUUGAGUGUAUCAAACGACAUAUCAACGUGUAUCAAACAUAUCAAAUUUGUUGAGUGUACCAAUGAAGCAUAACAAGUAUUCGCAGUGCAUCAAGUGUAUCAAACUUAUCAAUGAAGCAUUUAAGUAUAUUUAAUGUUAAGCAUCGCCCCACACACGUAUCCUUAACCUUGCUAUGUGGAACAAAACGCGACUUAAGCAAUCUUGAAGCUUCUAAUGCGAAAUGCAAUAAUGCUCGGGUUUGAUGGAAGGUUAGGCAUGCACAGUGGAAUCAAGAUCAAAAUUUACUCUAAAUGCAUCUAAACAAUUUAGAAAUUAACAUGCAUCUAAACAAUUUAGAAAUUAACAUGCAUCAAAACUACUCUAAUCAAAAGUAAAAGGGUUAAAAAAAAAACUCACCUUUGAAGUUUUUCAAUUCUCUUAAUCUCCUCAUGAGCUUGAAGUCAAGACUACCACUAGUGUUGACCCACUAUUCUCCAGACUUAGAAAUGGGUUGUGAGACUCGUAAGGUGAAGGAAAAAGAGAGAGAGAGAUGGAAUUUGGAGGAAGAACUUAGGUUUGAGAUUAUGUAGAGAAAAAUAGUAUAUAUUAGGUUUAUUUUGCAAUCCAAAUUACAUUAAUUACCCAAAGUUUUUCACUCAUAUGAAAUAACGAGAAUUUUCAAAAAUAACAAAUUUUACAAAAUAUUUACGAUCUAUAACAAAUUCUAUCACUGAUAAUCAUUGAUAUGCUGUAGUGAUAGAAGACUAUCAGUGAUAGAAUCCAAAAUUUUGUUAUAAC